rnacentral:rRNA from 1 species
CAGCGAAACUGCGAAUGGCUCAUUAUAUAAGUUAUCGUUUAUUUGAUAGUACCUUACUACUUGGAUAACCGUGGUAAUUCUAGAGCUAAUACAUGCUAAAAAUCCCGACUUCGGAAGGGAUGUAUUUAUUAGAUUAAAAACCAAUGCCCUCUGGGCUCCUUGGUGAUUCAUGAUAACUUCUCGAAUCGCAUGGCCUUGCGCCGGCGAUGGUUCAUUCAAAUUUCUUCCCUAUCAACUUUCGAUGUUUGGGUAGUGGCCAAACAUGGUUGCAACGGGUAACGGAGGGUUAGGGCUCGACCCCGGAGAAGGAGCCUGAGAAACGGCUACUACAUCCAAGGAAGGCAGCAGGCGCGCAAAUUACCCAAUCCCGAUUCGGGGAGGUAGUGACAAUAAAUACUGAUACAGGGCUCUUUUGGGUCUUGUAAUUGGAAUGAGUACAAUUUAAAUCCCUUAACGAGGAACAAUUGGAGGGCAAGUCUGGUGCCAGCAGCCGCGGUAAUUCCAGCUCCAAUAGCGUAUAUUAAAGUUGUUGUGGUUAAAAAGCUCGUAGUUGAACCUUGGGCCUGGCUGGCCGGUCCGCCUCACCGCGUGUACUGGUCCGGCCGGGUCUUUCCCUCUGUGGAACCCCAUGCCCUUCACUGGGUGUGGCGGGGAAACAGGACUUUUACUUUGAAAAAAUUAGAGUGCUCCAGGCAGGCCUAUGCUCGAAUACAUUAGCAUGGAAUAAUGAAAUAGGACGUGCGGUUCUAUUUUGUUGGUUUCUAGGACCGCCGUAAUGAUUAAUAGGGACAGUCGGGGGCAUCAGUAUUCAAUUGUCAGAGGUGAAAUUCUUGGAUUUAUUGAAGACUAACUACUGCGAAAGCAUUUGCCAAGGAUGUUUUCAUUAAUCAGGAACGAAAGUUAGGGGAUCGAAGACGAUCAGAUACCGUCGUAGUCUUAACCAUAAACUAUGCCGACUAGGGAUCGGACGAUGUUAUUUAUUGACUCGUUCGGCACCUUACGAGA